GGUGUUUGGAGGCUAAUUCAGGAAAACCAAGUUUUUCCAACCUUAAUUGAUGCAUAUUACUUCUUCUCAAAAGCCUGCAACAAUGAGUUAAGCCUGAAAGUAUCUAAGGAUAUUAGAACACAAAUAUGUGUCAAGAUAAAGUCAAAUUUAAAUCUCUUUAAAAUGCCCGUAGUAACCCACAGAAAUGAAAAAACUCCUAUGAUUUUCUACUUAGGAUUAAACGAGGCCAGGGCAAAAAUAAGUGUGAUUAGAAAGCUGGUGCUAUAUUCACCACUCUGCAUCCAAAGCAAGCCUUUCUCCCUAACACUGAAAAGCUGCUAUUAACAGGGUAUCUCUAAUCACCACCUCGGCCACCAUUUGCGUCACUGUUUCACAUCUGACUCCAAAGCAAGUCUAGUCUGCGGACGAAGGCAAGAGGCAGAGUCCUCUUUACCCUAGCAGAAGACAGAGUACCUGCAGGAGCAAGGCACACCUGGCGUGGAGGCAGAAGAAAAAGAGUUAAGAGGGACACGGCGAGGGGAGGGAGAGGGCAGAAACAAGAAGCAACCAGAGACAGAGAUAACAGCGAGGGCAGAAAGGUGAAAGAGGACAGGGACAGAAGGACAACAGAGAAGGCCAAGACUGAAAGGAGCCCAGAAUCUUCUGGCGGCACAGAAAACAGGCACAAGGGCCGGUACUGCAGCCGGGACUUCAGCUUCUUGUCAACUCGAAGAUAAGAGGUCAAGGAAUCUGUUGUCAAUCACACUGACCAGAAGUGGCAAGGCAAUAAUCGGAGCCCAAGCUAUGUGACAUCAAGGCUAAUACUCUUUUAGUUUAUUGACUUAUAGUUGAAUUACAAUCAACUGAACAUAUGUAAUGUGCAAAAUAUGUCAGGGACACACCCGUGAAGACAUCGCCACAAUCAAGAGGACUGACGCCCUUGCUCUCAACCAGCUUCGACUUGUAGUAUCAAGCCCAUCCUUCUACUGGAAGAGCAGUCAGAUAUUUGAAGAGACCCACUUGUGCUUUUGAAAUGUCCUGUUCCUUAAGCCUGGCUACAGGAAAGGUGAUGAAUGCACCCUGGACAAAGCUGUGUGCCUCUCCUUCUGAUGGCUCCCCUGCUUCAAAUUCUUGUUCUGGGAGUGGCCCCACUCCCAGGCCAGGCUUCAGCAUCUCCACCUGCUAAGACCUUCCUUCCCUGUCUGUUUUCAAGGCCCUUCUCAAAUGCUUCCUCCACACAGAGGCUUUCCUAGCCAAAUAAAGGCAACAUUCCUUGCAGAACACUUUGUAUAUAGCACAUGAACCUGUAUAUAUACUGGAAGAUCACUGCUCAUAAGUCACGCUGCCAUUGGGGCACUGGGAUGUUUUACUAUUAGAACUCCUGGAGGAACGUGAGGAAACUGUCACUAUUUCACAGUCGUCGGUUCUACUGGGCCAUGUCGUUGGAGAUGAUUUCCUACAGAUUUCCCUGGGUUUCACAAAAAUGUUUUGUGUUCUUAAGGACUUCUUUUGCUAUUCAAGUUUGGCUUCAAUAUUGUUACUGCAUGAGUAGAUUUGUUGAGUGACAUAAGUUUGGGCAAAGGCUUUCCUUGAACUCUUAAUCAUUUGCACACUCAUCCUCACCCACGGUGGUGUCCGAGUUGCCAAGUGUAUUGAGGAUCCCAGCCAGGGGCACCAGUGCAAGGAUUACCAAUUAUGGACAAGAGAAUGAAACCCUCUUUUCUUACCUGCACUCUGGCAUCAGGAUGCUUAUCACCACUUUACAUACUAACACUCAACCCCCAUCAGUUGGUGCAAACUUUGAAAUCUCACUGUAAUCAUUUCUCUCCUACAUAUUUGAACGACUGCCUGCUGGAGCUCUAACGUGUUCACUUACCUUUCUGUGAGGUAAGUUUUUUAUUGAGAUAACUCUCACUCACAAAAUUCGCUCUUUAAAGGUGUGCAAUUUAGUGAACUUUAGUAUAUUCACAAAGUUGUGCAGCCAAAAAUCACUGUUUAAUUCUGGAACAUUUUCAU